rnacentral:misc_RNA from 1 species
UCCGAGUUGACCCCGGCAGUCUCCUAUGAGUCCCCGGCAUUACCCGCUGGCAACAUAGGACGAGGGUUGCGCUCGUUGCGGGACUUAACCCAACAUCUCACGACACGAGCUGACGACAGCCAUGCACCACCUGUAUACCGACAAAAGGGGCUCUAUCUCUAGAGCUUUCCGGCAUAUGUCAAACCCAGGUAAGGUUCUUCGCGUUGCAUCGAAUUAAACCACAUGUUCCACCGCUUGUGCGGACCCCCGUCAAUUCCUUUGAGUUUUAAUCUUGCGACCGUACUUCCCAGGCGAAUCACUUAACGCGUUAGCUUCGACACUAAUCCCAUAAAAACAGAACUAACGUCUAGUGAUCAUCGUUUACAGCGUGGACUAC